rnacentral:rRNA from 1 species
CAGUGAUGAUGGCAAAGAGGCCACACCCGUUCCCAUCCCGAACACGGAAGUUAAGCUCUUUUGCGCCGAUGGUAGUUGGGGGUUUCCCCCUGUGAGAGUAGGACGUCGCUGGGCU